UACGUAGGGGGCAAGCGUUGUCCGGAAUCAUUGGGCGUAAAGCGCGCGUAGGCGGCCAGAUAAGUCCGGUGUGAAAGUCACAGGCUCAACCUGUGAAUGCCGCUGGAAACUGUCUGGCUUGAGUCCGGAAGGGGCGAGUGGAAUUCCUGGUGUAGCGGUGAAAUGCGCAGAUAUCAGGAGGAACGCCAAUGGCGAAGGCAGCUCGCUGGAACGGUACUGACGCUGAGGCGCGAAAGCGUGGGGAGCGAACAGG
rnacentral:rRNA from 1 species